ACCGCGAACCGCGACGCCGUUCCGCGCCUGCACAUUUGAGAGAGAGAGAGAAAGGGGGAGAGAAGGAGAGAGAGAGAGAGAGAGAGUCGUAAUGGCAAGCGAGAGGCAGAGGGAAACCAUAAGCCUGGGGAAGCGGAGGCCGGUAGAAGCGGGUAGCAGAGAAGAGGAUGAAGCGGGGGUGGUGGAGAACGAGGAGGAAGAUGAGAAUAGGGAUAUCCAAGAGCUGGAGCGCGAGGUGAGCGAGAUGGGCAGCAGGAUCCUCGACGCUCGGCGGAGCAUCCCCGACCGGCUUCUCGAAGCCCUCUCCUCCCGCCUCCUUACUCAGAGGCCGGUCCUUCCUCCACAAGCCCUAAUCGGCGCUGAUGCCGGCACCACCGGUUCUGCUUGUCAGUGAUGGUGGUGGCCGAAUGACGUGAAUGAUGAUUGCCCUGUUGAAAUAUCCGCUCAGAAAUUUUCUUGUGGAGUUAGAUGAAUCUAGGAACACUUAUGAGAUAAUUGUGAAAUCCAUGGCCAUAUUGGGGGAGAAGUUUACUGUGAUUCUGUCCGUAAUAAUUCAGAUAAGACAAUUGUAAUAAAGACUUCAACAUGGACAUCCAAGAUAAUACCCAGAUCUGAAGAGUGCCAAAGGAGAACUACAAGCCCCAUCUUCUGAAUCCAAUGGGGGAAACAUGCUUGCUAACGUUGAUCAAAGAUUGCUCGAGAAAUUGCUUGUUCUCAGAGCCAAAACCCAAAGCAACAUUUCUGCAGUCCCAGUAAUUCUGAAGAGAAUAAAUGACUGCAUUGUGAAGAUUGAAGAACUGGAGAAGUGCCAUGUAGACGUACAUCCUGUUUUUAAUCGAAAAUGAACAUUGUGAGGGUUUAGAUUCUCGUGUGUUGAAAACUCCAUGAUGUGGAUUUAGUGUGGCUGUGUCUCGACAGUUAGUACUACCUUGUUUACUGAUGCAAAAUAUUUCUGUUCUUUGGUAAUUUGUUUACGAAGAAUGUAA